rnacentral:lncRNA from 1 species
UCCUGACUCUUCUCCAAAGAACUGGAGGGUUCAGAGUGUGCCACGGAAACCCAACUCACAGGAAGGCUGGAAGCAGGGAGACUCUUCCUGCUUCCGACGAAACGUGCAAGGACAAAGUCAGUGUCAAAGGGAUGCAAAUUUCAAACUCCUUGCUUUCCCACUCAGCUACAUUUAACCAUUCCUAUCGCCAUACAGCGUGCAUGGACAAGUCUUGCCAAAUUCAGGGUCACCCAGUGAAGGUGAGAGAGAACAAGCAAGAAGAAGUCUUCCUCCCGCCCCAGCCAACAGCGUGGACUAGAAUUGCCGGAACACCUUAUAAAAAUCUUGUUUGUUUGUUUCAUAGGCCACCUUUCUCCUAAUAAGGGGACCCAAGGUGGCUCACAAUAUUAAAAAGAAUAGAAUUAAAAAUCAUCGUAAGUUAAACAUUAAAAAAACAAUUAAACGAUAUGCUAAUUAAAAUACAAUUGAAGAGUUAAAAGCAACUGUGAGUGCAAAAGGAGUGUUUGCUUUUGAUUGCACUCAUAGUGAAAUGUCUCCAAAGUCAGGAACACCAUAAAACUGGGUUUAUUUGUAACUGUAGGUAGGGCUUGGCUAAUGGUAAGAAAAACAUUUGUGCACACAGAGAUGCAUGUGCGUAUGUACACAUAUACACACACAUUGCUCCUUGCUCCAAGAGUUCUUCAACCAGGUAAAUCAGGUAAGCAGAGUGCUAGCAUCAGAUGGUACCUCCAAGAGUUCUUCAACCAGGUAAAUCAGAUGGUAUAUACUGGUGUCUUUUACAGGAGCAGCAUUUCUUACUGUGUGCCCCUCUAGGUUGCUAAUUUUUCAUGUUGUGAUCUGCUACAAAUUCCCAGACUUCCUAGUUUGAGCACUGCAACACUCAGGUACAUUAUUCACUAGCACAUAUCAUAAAGGCAUACAGAACACUCUGCAGUUAAUAUAAACUUAUAUUGGCAAUCCUAAACAAGCCAAAUGUGUGUGUCCUGAUGCUAUUGAAAAACCAGAAUCAAAAUCCUGUUGAGUUCUCCAGACCAUGUUGUCCCAUUGAUUUCACUACUGAACUCACAGUGAUGGGCAGUGCAAUCCACCAUUUAUUUAUUUUUUAAAGUAAUUCUCACCAUGUCCCCAUUGCAUUAUGACUGCCACAGUCUCCAGAUGCAAUGGAGCUUCUGUCUCUGAAAAGGCAUUCGCCAAAUAAGAUGGCACAAAUAAUCUUGGCCAAAUGUCUACAUAUAUAUUAGUAAAACAAACAAAACGUUCAGAAGAUUUCUUUUCUAAAAGUGUAAAUCCAGCUGAUUUUGACUUCAGCAUUCAAAACCUUCAGUUUCUCUAUCAAUAUAUUUUUGGCUCUAGUCUCUA